AGUAUCGUUCACAGGGAAGGACUAAAUUCAAUAUCAAGUCAAGUAUAUUAUUCCUUAAAUCUAGAAGUGUAGAAGAAUAAUUGGGUGUUUUGUUACUAACUAAAUUAUACUACUAAGCAAUUAAAAUCUAAGAUUUAUCGAUGGAGAAAACAAUCCAGGAACAGGGGUUCUUCAAUUGGUUUCAUGAAUGUCUAAUAUGUGAUAUCUUGUUCUCCCACUUUGCUAAAAACAAUUCUUCUAAUGCUUAUAUUGUUCUCUCCCAAGAUACAAUAUAUUGCCUACAACUAUAUCUUGAACGCCACUCCCAUGAUCAAUCAAAAUAUAAGCCAUAAACUAU
rnacentral:lncRNA from 1 species